UACAGAGGGGGCAAGCGUUGUUCGGAAUUAUUGGGCGUAAAGGGCGCGUAGGCGGUGCUGUAAGUCUGUAGUGAAAUCUCUGGGCUCAACUCAGAGUCUGCUAUAGAAACUGCAGUGCUGGAGUGUGGGAGAGGUGAGUGGAAUUUCCGGUGUAGCGGUGAAAUGCGUAGAUAUCGGGAGGAACACCUGUGGCGAAAGCGGCUCACUGGACCACAACUGACGCUGAGGCGCGAAAGCUAGGGGAGCAAACAGG
rnacentral:rRNA from 1 species